ensembl:lncRNA
CUUGUUUUUGAAAGAAGUCUUAUAUGCUCUCCAAGGCUGUAAUUGUUCAAUACAGUAAUACAGUGAGAACCGCAAUAUUGUGAAGGAUCAUGUGACACUAAAGACUGUAUUAAUGAUUGCUUAAGCUUGGCCAUGACAAGGAAUAAAUUACAUUUUCAAAUAAAACAGAAAAUCAUUAUUUUAAGUCAAUAUUGCUGUUUUUACUGUAUUUUUAUUUAGAUAAUUGCAACCUUGGUGAGCAUAAGAGACUUAAAAACAUCUUUAAAACAUCUUAAUGAUUCCAAACUUUGGACAUGUUUAUAUAUCUUAUAAUAUACCUUUUAGCUUAACAAGGCACUGGCCGCUGCAAAAAAAAAAAAAAAAAAAAAAAAAAAAAAAAUAUCUAGGUGACUGAUGCAUUUUCCUCCCUUUCUUCCUCUCAUUGAGCCACUAGCAAAAGCAGAAAUGUUGAAUGAGGUGGGUGGCCUCAGUAAAUAAGGGGGCCUCUGUCUCUCACUCUUUCACUUUAUUCAUGCCACGUGAGCAUCUCUGAGGCCAUUGAGUUCAUAUGGAGUGCUGCAUUGAGACCAGGCUUGGUCACCGCCCACUUUUUUUACUCUCUUUUUCUCCCGCAGCGUGGCGGCUUUGGGAGGGGCCGCACUCAGAGACACGCAGUGGCAGCACCAGACAGUGAAGCUGACACAAAUGAGACUUCCCUGAUGUGUGGGGGUUUGUGUGAGACUGACAGACAGAGAGAGAAAUUAGAGAAGGUAGUUGUGCCUGAGAGUUGUAGGUCUGUGUGCACCUUUGCAUUUGCUUGGCAUCAUUACCACCUGUCCUGCUGAAUGUCUAGGCUGGAAACAUCCAACAGUUCCCACCUUCUGGUCCUGGUCCAAGUCAAAGGGACAAGAGGGUUUUCUCUCCGGCUACAAUGAGUGAUGUUGUAAUUGUGAAGGAGGGAUGGCUACAUAAGAGAGGUAAAGUUUCUGUGAAGCUUUUCUCCAACAGAAACUGCACAAUCUGCAUAUUUAAAAACAUUUAAGACAAACAUCACUACCUGAACUUCAAAGCUGUUUGUUGCUCCCCGACAUUUUGCUAUCCUCAUUUGCACUGAGUUGAGGUUUGUUUACCACUUGACCAUCAGAGCUUCAUACUUGUGAGUGUUUAGCUCAACUUUCAUUGGAAUUAACUGAAAAUGCCCUCUUUGCUCCGCUCACUCUGCA